AAAAGAACCUGAAACCGUGUACGUACAAGCAGUGGGAGCCCCACCACUAAGCCAGUGGUGAACUCCACAUACGCAUCCUUUGCUGAGGAUACGGUUAACGGAGCGAAAGCGACGUUCAACCGCAAAACAAGCAGAGGGGGCUUAGUGGUGGGGUGACUGCGUACCUUUUGUAUAAUGGGUCAGCGACUUAUAUUCUGUAGCAAGGUUAACCGAAUAGGGGAGCCGUAGGGAAACCGAGUCUUAACCGGGCGUUAAGUUGCAGGGUAUAGACCCGAAACCCGGUGAUCUAGCCAUGGGCAGGUUGAAGGUUGGGUAACACUAACUGGAGGACCGAACCGAC
rnacentral:rRNA from 2 species